rnacentral:rRNA from 1 species
GAUGAACGCUGGCGGCGUGCCUAAUACAUGCAAGUCGAGCGAAUGGAUUAAGAGCUUGCUCUUAUGAAGUUAGCGGCGGACGGGUGAGUAACACGUGGGUAACCUGCCCAUAAGACUGGGAUAACUCCGGGAAACCGGGGCUAAUACCGGAUAACAUUUUGAACCGCAUGGUUCGAAAUUGAAAGGCGGCUUCGGCUGUCACUUAUGGAUGGACCCGCGUCGCAUUAGCUAGUUGGUGAGGUAACGGCUCACCAAGGCAACGAUGCGUAGCCGACCUGACAGGGUAUUCGGCCACACUGGGACGGAGACACGGCCCAGACUCCUACGGGAGGCAGCAGUAGGGAAUCUUCCGCAAUGGACGAAAGUCUGACGGAGCAACGCCGCGUGAGUGAUGAAGGCUUUCGGGUCGUAAAACUCUGUUGUUAGGGAAGAACAAGUGCUAGUUGAAUAAGCUGGCACCUUGACGGUACCUAACCAGAAAGCCACGGCUAACUACGUGCCAGCAGCCGCCGCCG